UGACAAAUCAAAACUCCGAUUUGCCAAGAACCUUGAUUUUUAGUUUAGGUUUAAGUUUUAAAUUAUAGUUUGAAAGGUUAACCAUGUUUCAUGGCAGAGAGAGAUAUCAUGUGUGAAUUGCUGAUUUAACGCGGCCGUCUUCGUUUCCCCGGUAAAUCGGGGGUUCUGUGCUGUUUCCCCGGUAAAUCGGGGGUUCUGUAUUUAACUGUGUUUUGAAGUUGAGGGUUUUUGUUCGAUAAAACAGCUGAAAAGAAGCUGGAUACAGCUUCUUCUCGAGCAUAUAUAAAUGACUUUCUAAGUGAUCUCCGUACGUUCAAAUCAGAGUUGUUUUUGCAGAAUGAAGAGCCACAUUUCUUGGAUCAAACUAUAUAUAACAUAUUUUCUUCAUACAUGCCACUAGUCACCCGUAAGUGUAACUGAUAAUUCCUUGAGUUACUAAGGAUUUGCGAUUGUGACGGUAUAAGUAUAACCGGUAAAAUAUAACCGGUAAAAUAUAACCGGUAAAAUUUCCUCCAGAGUAAACUGAUCAUCGGUGCAAUGGUAGUCUCCUAAGAUGAACCAUACUUCCACGAUUGUGUAAAAUUGGAGGCCCACCGGACCCUGAUAAAUUGGAUCAAGAGCAUAGUUACAUUUUUACAUAUACUUACAUACUGAAAUAGAUUAUGAUCAAUUAUUUCAAACAAGUAAAACACUCAAAAUAGGCGGGCAGACGAUUCGUUUCAUUAUAUAGUUAUAGACUAUGAAAAUUGUAAGUAAUUAACUAUAAACAUUUAAACUUUUAAGUAAUCAAAUGAUAAUAUUAAUUAAGUAAUUAAGUAAUUAAAUGAUAAUAUUACUACCACGAAUGAAAUAAAAUCCUGGGCAUUACGUGAGAAACUUACGAAGACGAAAAUAAUGAAUAUUCGCAUUUUGUAAUAUGGAGCCUCAAAGAUCAAGAAUCAAUAUAAGGUAGUCUCUAAAUUAAAGCUUGUCUGUUUAAUAUAUGGUUAUAACAUGACUAUAAUAGUUCAGCACAAUUUUCAAUGACAACAUAAAAUAUCUCC